CUCCAAUUUCUAACAAUGUUUGUUGCAGGAAUGAUAUGACAUACAAACAUAACUUUAGAAAAACAUCAUAUUUUAUUGUCUCUCUAUACAUUCCUCAAUUUUUGCAUUUGCCUUUCUUUUUUGAAGACUGCCAAGCUGUCCUCAAUUUUGGGAACUUCUGUCUGGGACAACGUCCUCAGGAUUAUGGAGUGGUGUGUUUAUAAAAUGUUGUUUGAAUAUUACAACAUGCAUUAGGAUUAAGCAAAACUUUAACAUUUAGAGCUUACAGUUAAGUGCAAUGAAAAGCCAGGAAACUCAAGGGGUUGAAGUUCUUAAAUAUGCCCGUUGACGUCGGGGUGGAUGAGGACGCAAAAGCUGACCCAUCACACCACUCUUCAAGAGGGCCACUACGCACCAGAUCGACUUCUGUGCUCAGUCGUUGAUGAGGAUCUUCCCCAUUACACCACUAAUUAAUCAUUAAUACAAAUUUUUAAAAUGGGCCUUUAUAUACUCUGUCCCAGUCUUUCUAUGCAUGUAAUGUCUUGGAUUAUGAAACAAUCACUGUAUGCAGAUGUGCUAAAAACGUUCAAUGUAAGAAUAUGCUGCAGAUUUCAAUCUUAACUGGUGGCUAUGGAAACAAAUAUAAAUGUAAUGAACAAUGUUUUGAAUAUACAACUUUUUCCUCUGCAAUACUUUUUCCAGUAGGUAAUAAGCUGUAGUCAGGUGGUCAUUACCAGGUUAUGAUGAGGUCUUAACUACGAUCAGUACAUAAUAAAGCUCAUAAUAUAGUGGUCACAAUUAUGACCGACUGGUCUUAUGUUGGUCAGAAGAAUACAUCAUAUUCUGGUUAGUAAAAAUACUUUUUAAAAAACUGAUGCCUUUUAAACCAGAUUUUGCCCACUGGGUACUGACUCACU